rnacentral:rRNA from 1 species
UACGUAGGGUGCAAGCGUUGUCCGGAAUUAUUGGGCGUAAAGAGCUCGUAGGCGGUUUGUCGCGUCUGCCGUGAAAGUCCGGGGCUCAACUCCGGAUCUGCGGUGGGUACGGGCAGACUAGAGUGAUGUAGGGGAGACUGGAAUUCCUGGUGUAGCGGUGGAAUGCGCAGAUAUCAGGAGGAACACCGAUGGCGAAGGCAGAUCUCUGGCCGUAACUGACGCUGAGGAGCGAAAGCAUGGGGAGCGAACAGG